AGUGCAUGUGGUGGAUGCCUUGGCGAUUACAGGCGAAGAAGGACGUGAUAGCCUGCGAUAAGCUUCGGGGAGCUGGCAAAUUAGCUUUGAUCCGGAGAUUUCCGAAUGGGGAAACCCACCCCGCGAGGGGUAACGCAUGCUGAAUACAUAGGCAUGACGUGGCGAACCGGGUGAACUGAAACAUCUCAGUAGCUCGAGGAAAAGACAUCAACCGAGAUUCCGAAAGUAGUGGCGAGCGAAAUCGGAGUAGCCGUGGCGUUAUAGCAGUUGGCAUAUCAGAACGGAAUGGAAAGUCCGGCCAUAGCGGGUGAUAGCCCCGUAUGAGAAAUGUUGAUUGUGGAACUAAGCGUCAGACAAGUAGGGCGGGGCACGAGAAACCCUGUCUGAACAUGGGGGGACCAUCCUCCAAGGCUAAAUACUCGUAAUCGACCGAUAGUGAACAAGUACCGUGAGGGAAAGGCGAAAAGAACCCCGGGAGGGGAGUGAAAUAGAUCCUGAAACCGUGUGCAUACAAACAGUAGGAGCCUCCUUGUGGGGUGACUGCGUACCUUUUGUAUAAUGGGUCAGCGACUUACAUUCAGUGGCAAGCUUAACCGAGUAGGGGAGGCGUAGGGAAACCGAGUCCGAACAGGGCGUUCAAGUCGCUGGGUGUAGACCCGAAACCAAGUGAUCUAUCCAUGGCCAGGAUGAAGGUGCGGUAACACGCACUGGAGGUCCGAACCGACUAGUGUUGCAAAACUAGCGGAUGAGCUGUGGAUAGGGGUGAAAGGCUAAACAAACUUGGAAAUAGCUGGUUCUCUCCGAAAACUAUUUAGGUAGUGCCUCAAGUAUUACCAUCGGGGGUAGAGCACUGUUAUGGCUAGGGGGUCAUGGCGACUUACCAAACCAUUGCAAACUCCGAAUACCGAUGAGUACAGCUUGGGAGACAGUGCACCGGGUGCUAACGUCCGGACACAAGAGGGAAACAACCCAGACCGCCAGCUAAGGUCCCCAAAAUUGGCUAAGUGGGAAACGAAGUGGGAAGGCUAAAACAGUCAGGAUGUUGGCUUAGAAGCAGCCAUCAUUUAAAGAAAGCGUAAUAGCUCACUGAUCGAGUCGUCCUGCGCGGAAGAUGUAACGGGGCUAAGCCAGUUACCGAAGCUGCGGAUUUGCGAUUUAUCGCAAGUGGUAGGAGAGCGUUCUGUACGCCUGUGAAGGUGGAUCGCGAGGUCUGCUGGAGGUAUCAGAAGUGCGAAUGCUGACAUGAGUAGCGUUAAAGGGGGUGAAAAGCCCCCUCGCCGAAAGCGCAAGGUUUCCUACGCAACGUUCAUCGGCGUAGGGUGAGUCGGCCCCUAAGGCGAGGCAGAGAUGCGUAGCUGAUGGGAAACAGGUCAAUAUUCCUGUACCGAUCAAUAGUGCGAUGUGGGGACGGAGAAGGUUAGCUCAGCCAACUGUUGGAUAUGUUGGUUCAAGCGUGUAGUCGUGCUCUCUAGGCAAAUCCGGAGGGCUGAGAUGAGGCGUGAUAACGAGUCUGCUUGCAGACGAAGUGAGUGAUACCCUGCUUCCAGGAAAAGCCACUAAGCUUCAGCUAUUGACGACCGUACCGCAAACCGACACUGGUGCGCGAGAUGAGUAUUCUAAGGCGCUUGAGAGAACUCUGGAGAAGGAACUCGGCAAAUUGACACCGUAACUUCGGAAGAAGGUGUGCCUUUAGUAGGUGAUCCAUUUACUUGGUUAGCCCAAUGAGGCCGCAGAGAAUCGGUGGCUGCAACUGUUUAUUAAAAACACAGCACUCUGCAAAGACGAAAGUCGACGUAUAGGGUGUGACUCCUGCCCGGUGCUGGAAGAUUAAAUGAUGGGGUGCAAGCUCUUGACUGAAGUCCCAGUAAACGGCGGCCGUAACAAUAACGGUCCUAAGGUAGCGAAAUUCCUUGUCGGGUAAGUUCCGACCUGCACGAAUGGAGUAAUGAUGGCCACACUGUCUCCUCCAGAGACUCAGCGAAGUUGAAAUGUUUGUGAUGAUGCAAUCUCCCCGCGGAAAGA
rnacentral:rRNA from 1 species